AACCAAUAUCUCAAGUCUCUGGGGGACAAUCAUUAUUAUUCAAAGCAACUAUAUCAGAUAAGAGAAAAUCACUGCAUUGAUCAAACAAAUGGGUAAAGGAAACUUGAUUUAUGCUUGGAAGAAAGUUAGACGAGACUAUGAUGGACACACAUUUGCAAGACCAGGUUGUGACGUUGUCCCCUAAUUAAACUUGUAUACUCCAUAAAGCACUAAAUGAUAAUUAAAGAAGUACAAACCCAAGCAGAGUUCAUCAUUGUCCAUGCCUUGCCCAAAUUGUCCAUGCCAUGUUCAACAUGGCACUAAAUGAUACUAUGCCAUUUUGUGUCACUUUCCUAUGAUGGAUUGCUAUACCUAGCAAGAAUUCAUGUUUCCUUCAUAUCCAGUUUUCUAUUUCCUUGUGGAUUCCAUAUCUCUUCAAAAUUUUAACCAGGCACAAUUCAAACAAAUAUGGGGCUAGUGCUUUUCACGGGUUGGGUUUGCACAAACCCAACCCGACCCCAUUUGGUUAAAUUCACUUCAUAUUACAACCCGAUCCAAAAAUAAACUGGUUUGAAUCGGGUCGGAUCAAACCAUUUUUUUAAAAACAAAUAAGCGAGCCAGCAAGAACAAGAAAAAAGGUUCAUGUCAAGGCCAUUGCCGGACUUCAUUAUAAUCAUAAAAAUGACCUACAAAUAUGUGAUUGUGGCCAUUGGUCCAUGAAGAUUUCUUUUUCUAAUCCAUACAUUAUUUCUCUUUUGAAUUUUAAUAUGAGCCAUUUUUUAUAAUAUCUUUUUAUUUUUUAGGGGAUUAGAUUAGAAAAUUUGAAUAAACACAGAUAAUCAUUAAAAAAUUAUAAUUUAUAAUAAGAA
rnacentral:misc_RNA from 1 species